rnacentral:rRNA from 1 species
CAUUCAUGCAGCGUUUGUCGCUGCGAGUGAGGCGUUUUUUCUCAAAUUUGAAAUCUGGCGCCUUCGGUGUCCGAGUUGUAAUUUGAAGAUUGUAACCUUGGGGUUGGCUCUUGUCUAUGUUUCUUGGAACAGGACGUCACAGAGGGUGAGAAUCCCGUGCGAUGAGAUGCCCAAUUCUAUGUAAGGUGCUUUCGAAGAGUCGAGUUGUUUGGGAAUGCAGCUCUAAGUGGGUGGUAAAUUCCAUCUAAAGCUAAAUAUUGGCGAGAGACCGAUAGCGAACAAGUACAGUGAUGGAAAGAUGAAAAGAACUUUGAAAAGAGAGUGAAAAAGUACGUGAAAUUGUUGAUAGGGAAGGGUUUGAGAUCAGACUCGAUAUUUUGUGAGCCUUGCCUUCGUGGCGGGGUGACCCGCAGCUUAUCGGGCCAGCAUCGGUUUGGGCGGUAGGAUAAUGGCGUAGGAAUGUGACUUUACUUCGGUGAAGUGUUAUAGCCUGCGUUGAUGCUGCCUGCCUUGACCGAGGAACGGCGAUUUUAUCAAGGGAUGCUGGCCUUAAUGAUCCCAAACCGCCCCGUCUUUGAAACAUGUCUACUUUUUUUUUCAUCUGAAAACUUUUCACCACGGGUUGGGGGAGUACAAAAGGGUAGAUUUCCCGGUGUAACGUUGAAAUGCUUAGAGAUCGGGGGGAAUUCCGGUGGCUAAGGCGGGCUUCUGCACGGACCCUGACACUGGUGUGGCGAAAGCGUGGGUUAUCAAAACAGGGAUUAGAUCCCCUGGUUAGUCUAGGUCGUCAGACGAUGUCAGAACAGCAGUUGGGUUGUCCAAGCCGCAGUUUUGUGGCGGUAGGUUAGCGCCUAUAGUUCGAUCGCGCUGGGGGGGUAGCGCCCCCGGGGUUUUAAACUCAAAUAAAUUUGGCCGGCGG